rnacentral:rRNA from 1 species
UGGGGAAUAUUGGGCAAUGGGCGCAAGCCUGACCCAGCAACGCCGCGUGAGGGAAGAAGGUUUUCGGAUUGUAAACCUCUGUCGCAGAAGACGAAGGAAGUGACGGUAGCAUAGGAGGAAGCCCCGGCUAACUACGUGCCAGCAGCCGCGGUAAUACGUAGGGGGCGAGCGUUGUCCGGAAUUACUGGGCGUAAAGGGUGCGUAGGCGGUUUUGUAAGUUGGAUGUGAAAUACCCGGGCUUAACUUGGGGGCUGCAUCCAAUACUGCAGGACUUGAGUGCAGGAGAGGAAAGCGGAAUUCCUAGUGUAGCGGUGAAAUGCGUAGAUAUUAGGAGGAACACCGGUGGCGAAGGCGGCUUUCUGGACUGUAACUGACGCUGAGGCACGAAAGCGUGGGGAGCAAACAGGAUUAGAUACCCUGGUAGU